UCAAAAAUGUAUAGAAGAUAAUUAUUCAAUUUUUAUCCAUUAAGCAAAUGGGUGAAGAUUACGUCCAGUUCGGAUCUUAGACUACUAGAAA